rnacentral:rRNA from 1 species
GAUGAACGCUGGCGGCGUGCCUAAUACAUGCAAGUCGAGCGAAUGGAUUAAGAGCUUGCUCUUAUGAAGUUGGCGGCGGACGGGUGAGUAACACGUGGGUAACCUGCCCAUAAGACUGGGAUAACUCCGGGAAACCGGGGCUAAUACCGGAUAACAUUUUGAACCGCAUGGUUCGAAAUUGAAAGGCGGCUUCGGCUGUCACUUAUGGAUGGACCCGCGUCGCAUUAGCUAGUUGGUGAGGUAACGGCUCACCAAGGCAACGAUGCGUAGCCGACCUGAGAGGGUGAUCGGCCACACUGGGACUGAGACACGGCCCAGACUCCUACGGGAGGCAGCAGUAGGGAAUCUUCCGCAAUGGACGAAAGUCUGACGGAGCAACGCCGCGUAAGUGAUGAAGGCUUUCGGGUCGUAAAACUCUGUUGUUAGGGAAGAACAAGUGCUAGUUGAAUAAGCUGGCACCUUGACGGUACCUAACCAGAAAGCCACGGCUAACUACGUGCCAGCCGCCGCCGUAA